UACGUAGGGUGCAAGCGUUGUCCGGAAUUAUUGGGCGUAAAGAGCUCGUAGGCGGUCUGUCGCGUCGGCCGUGAAAACCUGGGGCUUAACUCUGGGCGUGCGGUCGAUACGGGCAUCACUAGAGUUCGGCAGGGGAGACUGAAAUUCCUGGUGUAGCGGUGAAAUGCGCAGAUAUCAGGAGGAACACCGGUGGCGAAGGCGGGUCUCUGGGCCGAUACUGACGCUGAGGCACGAAAGCGUGGGGAGCAAACAGG
rnacentral:rRNA from 1 species